rnacentral:rRNA from 1 species
GACGAACGCUGGCGGCGUGCCUAAUACAUGCAAGUAGAACGCUGAAGGAGGAGCUUACUUCUCUGGAUGAGUUGCGAACGGGUGAGUAACGCGUAGGUAACCUGCCUGGUAGCGGGGGAUAACUAUUGGAAACGAUAGCUAAUACCGCAUAAGAGUAGAUGUUGCAUGACAUUUACUUAAAAGGUGCAAUUGCACCACUACCAGAUGUACCUGCGUUGUAUUAGCUAGUUGGUGGGGUAACGGCUUACCAAGGCGACGAUACAUAGCCGACCUGAGAGGGUGAUCGGCCACACUGGGACUGAGACACGGCCCAGACUCCUACGGGAGGCAGCAGUAGGGAAUAUUCGGGAAGGAACGGAAGUCCGACCGAGCAACGCCUCGUGAGUGAAGAAGGUUUUCGGAUCGUAAAGCUCUGUUGUAAGAGAAGAACGAGUGUGAGAGUGGAAAGUUCACACUGUGGCGGUAUCUUACCAGAAAGGGACGGCUAACUACGUGCCAGACGCCGCCGUAA